rnacentral:rRNA from 1 species
GACGAACGCUGGCGGCGUGCUUAACACAUGCAAGUCGAACGAUGAAGCCGGAGCUUGCUCCGGUGGAUUAGUGGCGAACGGGUGAGUAACACGUGAGCAAUCUGCCCUCGACUCUGGGAUAACUGCGGGAAACUGUAGCUAAUACCGGAUACGACACCUUGGGGCAUCCCAGGGUGUGGAAAGAAUUUCGGUCAAGGAUGAGCUCGCGGCCUAUCAGCUAGUUAGUGAGGUAAUGGCUCACCAAGGCGACGACGGGUAGCCGGCCUGAGAGGGUGACCGGCCACACUGGAACUGAGACACGGUCGAGACUCCUACGGAAGGCAGCAGUGGGGAAUAUUGCACAAUGGGCGAAAGCCUGAUGCAGCAACGCCGCGUGAGGGACGAAGGCCUUCGGGUUGUAAACCUCUUUUAGCAGGGAAGAAGCGAAAGUGACGGUACCUGCAGAAAAAGCACCGGCUAACUACGUGCCAGCCGCCGCGGUAA